GCCAGAGCGCGCGAUACUUGAGAAAAUAACCCUGUGGGACCACGAGACGGGAGAAAAUGUACAACAGCAAGACAAACCCAGAGAGAUGAAGUGACUGACCCAAGGUUACACAGGAUGGAAUCUGUAUCUUCUGAUUUCCUUACUGGCCCACAGUGCAUGUUCUGAGGAGCAGCCCUGGAAGCUACUGCGAUAAUGGAACAGUGGAGUAGAUAGUCCAUUAUAACUCAUCUGUGAUUCUUCUCAAAUUUAAGUGACUACAGAUGUUUCCCAGUCUCCUUGCUGUGCAUGAACAGACUGAAACUGAAUCCAGAAAAGUGAAGUGACGUGUAUUGAGUCACACAGCUCUCGCCACAAUGGAACUUCAGGCACAUAACCCAAGUCCUGCUGAGCUGUCCUGUAGUGCUGUCACUCCACAGCACAUGGUCAUUCGGAGUAAACUGAGAUAUUUUUACUGAGACAGGAAUUUUGCCAGCCAUUCAUGGGGAAUCAGGAAGAGGUAAUAACUCUUUAUACUCAAAAUGUGGCCCAUUUGAAGAACCACAGAUCCCUUUGCCCUGAUGUCCCAUCCCAGUUAAUGGAUCUACCUUGUAAUUCUCAAACUCAAUAAAACCAGAAAGUUGCUUC
rnacentral:lncRNA from 1 species